UGCCCAGUCGUGGGGGAUAACGUAGCGAAAGUUACGCUAAUACCGCAUACGAUCUAAGGAUGAAAGCGGGGGAUCGCAAGACCUCGCGCGAUUGGAGCGGCCGAUAUCAGAUUAGGUAGUUGGUGGGGUAAAGGCUCACCAAGCCAACGAUCUGUAGCUGGUCUGAGAGGACGACCAGCCACACUGGAACUGAGACACGGUCCAGACUCCUACGGGAGGCAGCAGUGGGGAAUUUUGGACAAUGGACGAAAGUCUGAUCCAGCCAUUCCGCGUGCAGGAUGAAGGCCCUCGGGUUGUAAACUGCUUUUGUACGGAACGAAAAGGUCUCUAUUAAUACUAGGGGCUCAUGACGGUACCGUAAGAAUAAGCACCGGCUAACUACGUGCCAGCAGCCGCGGUAAUACGUAGGGUGCAAGCGUUAAUCGGAAUUACUGGGCGUAAAGCGUGCGCAGGCGGUUAUAUAAGACAGAU
rnacentral:rRNA from 1 species